GUACAGGGCCCAUUGGGUACCGUGAUUGGAAUGAAUACAAUUUAAAAACCUUAAUGAGGAACGAUUGGAGGGCAAGUCUGGUGCCAGCAGCCGCGGUAAUUCCAGCUCCAAUAGUGUAUAUUAAAGUUGCUGCAGUUAAAAAGCUCGUAGUUGGAUUUCGGAUUAAUGGGAGUUAAGGUCCAUCAAUUUGAUGUGUACCUUAUUCUCGUUUCCUUCCUUUUGAAUACACUCCCUGAAAUUUUUUUUGGGGAUCAAAGUGUUUCAAAUCUUUUACUGUGAAGAAAUUAGAGUGUUCAAAGCAGGCGUAAUCUAGCCUUUGAAUAUAUUAGCAUGGGAUAAUGAAAUAGGACUUUAGUUCUACUUUCGUUGGUUUCUAGGGCUAAAGUAAUGAUUAAUAGGGAUAGUUGGGGUCACUAGUAUUUAAUUGUCAGAGGUGAAAUUCUAAGAUUUAUUAAAGACUAACUACUGCGAAAGCAUUUGACAAGGAUGUUUUCAUUAAUCAAGAACGAAAGUUGGGGGAUCGAAGAUGAUCAGAUACCGUCGUAGUCUCAACCAUAAACUAUGCCGACCAAGGAUCCGGGGGUGUUAAAUAUGGAUGACUCUCCGGGCACUUAUAGAGAAAUCAUAAGUAUUUGGGCUCCGGGGGGAGUAUGGUCGCAAGGCUGAAACUUAAAGGAAUUGACGGAAGGGCACCACAAGGAGUGGAACCUGCGGUUUAAUUUGACCCAACACGGGGAAACUUACCAGGUCCAGACACAGUGAGGAUUGACAGAUUGAGAGUUCUUUCUUGAUUCUGUGAGUGGUGGUGCAUGGCCGUUUCUAGUUGGUGGAGUGAUUUGUCUGGUUAAUUCCGUUAACGAACGAGACCUUAACCUAUUAAAUAGUUGCUUGAACACAUGAAUAUUUAUUCUUUGUUCGGUUAACUUCUUAGAGGGACUCUUCACUGAGAGAGUGAAUGGAAGUUUGAGGCAAAAACAGGUCUGUGAUGCCCUUAGAUGUUCUGGGCCACACUCGCGUUACACUGACAUAUUCAACGAGCAUUUUCCUGGCCCGAUGGGGUUGGGUAAUCUUUUAAAUGUAUGUCGUGCUGGGGAUAGAUCAUUGUAAUUAUUGGUCUUGAACGAGGAAUUCCUAGUAAGUGCAAGUCAUCAACUUGCGCUGAUUGCGUCCCUGCCCUUUGUACACACCGCCCGUCGCCCCUACCGA
rnacentral:rRNA from 1 species